CCUGUCACAGCACACUCUUCUUCUGACCUACAAUGGGGUAGGGUGUCUGUAAGCUCUCCUCCAGAGAACACACUCCAUUCUGGACGAUGGACUUUUUAACGUUUAAGAAUUAUUGCCUGACUGAUUUUCAUCACUGUAUUUGUUGAAUCCUGGCAAGAUUUUGAUGUGAGUAAACCUUAUAUUUUCUUGUUUACUUAAACAGCCUGACAGUGAUUUGUUUGUUAAAAGUGAAACAUUAAAAAUGAGAUGAUACAAGUCAGACUAAGCAACCGUGGAUAUCAUAAUUGUUCUAGAAGAUUAUGCAACUUUGUCCGAAAAGCUUCUAAAGAUAAGUUGUUCAUGGAGGGUGAUUUUUUUACCUCUGCUGAAAUAGUAUUUGCAUACUUACACAAGUGAGAAAAAGAGGAAGAAUAAUUACUAAAUAAAACAUCCUCUCCUACUCAUCUAAAUCUAUCCAACAGUUGUGAAAGGCUUUGUUCCAGAAUCCACCAUAGGGCCCCCUCACAGAUCAGGUUACAUAGUCUACAAUUCAUAGCACAGCUCUGGGAUAUGUGAUUAAUCGUAAGCUAAGACAUGGUCCCAAUGCUUGCUCCCCUGACCUCCCCUUUCAAAGAGUGGAACAGGCACGGUCAUUUUCAUUGUUGUCUUCCCAAGCCACAGAGCUGGGCUUGCAAGUGGGCAAUUCUGCAGAUAAGUUGGGUCUGCUUGCACCCAUCAGACUGUCACCAAGUCCAUGGUGUGGGAGAUGGAUUGAGGAUUAAAUCUGCAGAUUUAGAUCUAAACCUCCUUUCUGGUAUGUGUGGGGAAAAUAUAUAAGUAUUCUGGCUGUGAAGCCUUUUUAGCAAAAAUAAAACUUGUAAGUUUUGCAGCUUAGGAAUUAGGCAAUUACAUCUUUCUAUCCCUUUUGUGGUCUGCUGAACUUCCCCUUCUUCGUCUCCAUUGCAGAGAAUAAGCCACAUGUUUUUAGUAAAACAAAUGAAAAAAGGUUUUACUUACAUUUCAAUGCAGACAGCAUAUACAGCAAAAGUAAUAUGCAGAAAAAUACUAAGCUACGGUAAAAUAAAAGCUGGUAGACUUAGCUAACAUGGUUGAAAGCAAGAGCUUUAGCCAUGCACAUCUGGUCAGCUUGGAGGCAUGGUGGAAAGAGAGUGUCUCCUCACAGACAGAAGGAAGUAUAAAGUAUUUUUCCCCUUUGUUACAGAGUUCUUGCCCAGAGGAGGAAAAAGAAGUGACAGUACACAAAAGGUCCUCUCUAGGAAAUUCAAGAAGUCUCUGUGUACUCGGCCUGUGCUUAUCUAGCAAAACAUGCAUUUCCGAUUUGGCUGCAACCCCCACACUUGGUAUUGCGGCAGAGUCAACACAGUCACUUCACUGUCCAUCCUAGCACUUAGGCCCCUCCCUAGCAGCGAGGAGCACUUCAGUGACAGGGAUUCAAUGGAUUUAAAUGGGGCUCACUCCAACAAGCAUGAGGAGCCUUCUUCAGCCUGAGGGCUAUGUUCCCUAAUAGGUAACCCCACAAGGGCUGCAUGCCAGUGGUGGGCGGGGCCAGGGGCAAAAGUGGGUGCGAGUCACCUUUGUGCAGUCAUCUGUAAUCCACCCAAGCAAAACAUUUCUGACACCCACCCACAUUUUUCCAACCAGGGAAACAAGCAGCAUCGUCACUUUUCCAAGGACACAUUCCAGCCAGGCAAGGGCACUUGAAGACCGUAGGGAGCAAAUCUGGCAAGGAAGGCUGUCACCUAGGGAGAGUCUCAAGGGCCAUAUACAAAGGACUGAGAGGCCACGCAUGGUUUCUCCACCCUCAGGUGUGUGGGGCUGUAACUAUGCGAAAGGGCCUGCCACGUUCCAACAGCUCGUGCUUCCUGCCAAGCUGAUGCCCUCAGCCCACCCUUGGUUACAGAAAGCAGCUUCUUCUCUGUGGAGUACAUGGCUGUCAGAAUUUCUAUCUGACUGAGGUCAAAGCAGCCAAAGGUCUUCAAGCUUUUCAUACCUCACUGCAUCUGGACCACCCUUCUUCUGCCAUCUGUUCAUUUUUAGAUUUCUUUAAAAGAGUCCCCACCCCCCACCCCUCUGGUUUGGCAAGAAGAAACCCUGUCUUGUUAGGGUCACUGAGCAGGGAACAGCAUAUCUGAACUUGCUACUCUCAUACGCUUUUUUCCCCCUUUGACACAUGUUGCAUUUCCCAAAUGUAAGCUCCUUGGGGGAAAGGGCUGUCUUUUUCAUGCAUAUAUGAUCUAUGUAUAUAUAUACAUAUAUACAUAUAUACAUACAUAUACAUAUACACAUACACACAUACAUAUACACAUACACACAUACAUAUACAUAUACAUAUACAUAUACAUAUACAUAUACAUAUACAUAUGUGUGUGUGUGCAUAAAUCAUGCAUACAUACACAGAGAGAGAGCGAGAGAGUCAGGGAUGGGAACUGGAGUCCAGAAACAUCCGGGGAAUCACAUAUUCCACAGCCUGCUUUAUGUAAUUUUAUGGUACUGCUGCAUUUAGAAGACUGGGCACCGUUCUCGUCACGAAACAAGACAUUCGCAGGGAAAGUAUAAAAGGAUCAAGGGAAUGGGGGCACCUUCUUGUGAAAAGAAAGGCAAAAGGAUGUGGGGAUUUUUAGAUGGGGGAGGAGAUGACUUAAGUCAGGAGUGAGGAACCUUUGGCCCUCCAGGUGUUGCUCCCAUCAUCUCCCAUCAUCUCUGAUCAUUGGUCAUGUUUUAUGGGGCUCCAGGGAGUUGUAACAAAAUGGGAUAUCCAUGUGCAGCGGCAGUCUACCCCUGAGUACCAAAGGAAUGGAGGUAGAGCAUAGCCUUAUACAGUGGUACCUCAGGUUAAGAACUUAAUUCGUUCCGGAGGUCCGUUCUUAACCUGAAGCUGUUCUUAACCUGAAGUACCACUUUAGCUAAUGGGGCCUCCUGCUGCCGCUGCGCUGCUGCCACACAAUUUCUGUUCUCAUCCUGAGGUAAAGUUCUUAACCCGACAUACUACUUCCAGGUUAGCGGAGUCUGUAACUUGAAGCGUUUGUAACCCAAAGCGUUUGUAACCUAAGGUGCCACUGUAUUAUAUGAGCUUGCCUAAUCCUCUUCUAAAGCCAACUAAGCUGGUGACUAUCACUGCCUUUUAUGCGAACAAGUUUAACUAUACACUGUGCAAAUAAGUACCUCUUUCAUUUGUUUUCUGCUUUAAAUCAUGAUUUACGUAUGAUCCAAAUCAGUUCAGUUCCCUUUCAAUUCCCCGCACACACAAUAAAGGUAAAGGUAAAGGGACCCCUGAGCACUGGGUCCAGUCAUGGCCGACUCUGGGGUUGCGGUGCUCAUCUAGCUUUAUUGGCCGAGGGAGCCGGCUUACAGCUUCUGGGUCAUGUGGCCAGCAUGACUAAGCCGCUUCUGGCCAACCAGAGCAGCGCACGGAAACGCUGUUUACUUUCCCGCCGGAGUGGUACCUAUUUAUCUACUUGCACUUUGAUGUGCUUUCGAACUGCUAGGUUGGCAGGAGCAGGGACCGAGCAACGGGAGCUCACCUCAUCAUGGGGAUUCAAACCACCGACCUUCUGAUCGGCAAGUCCUAGGGUCUGUGGUUUAACCCACAGCGCCACCCGCAUUCCCGCACACACAAUACCCCACUCCAAAUCAUCUCUAGAUAGUCAUUUUUAAUUACCCCCAGGAAAUUAGCCUAAAUCUCAUGUCCUUCCCCAAUUCAGUUUCCCUCAAAUUGAGUGACCAACAAGAAACAUCACCAUGCCUUAAAUAUCCAAGCUGGUGGCCACUGAUACGUCUAGUGGGAGCAAAUGCCAUAGUUUUACUAUCUGCUGUGUGGAGGAGGACCUUCUAGCUACCAGUUUGGAAAUGUUCAGAGGCCUGUUCACACUUCUAAAAGAAUAAGAAGAAAGGCAUGUGUGUCCAUGCAUGUGCAAACACAUUAGUGGUGGUAGAAAAGAAGAAAGAGAUGACUGCAUCCAUUGAAAAUGCAUUUUCCACACCAUCUCCAGGGAAUUUUAGACAAACACCCAGGAGCAAAUAUUUAUCUGCACAAGUGUACAAAUGAAUCCUCUUUCUCUCUUCCAAAAAGGGAAGAAGAAGAAAACCCUCUUUCUCCAAACACAGCCUUCAGCGACAGAUGUGCGAGACAGGGGCUCAAACACAGAAGGGCAAACGAAACAAAGGACUGGAAACCUGUCAAUCAAAACUGCUAAAGCAAGACCACAGGUGUGCUGCUUUGACCUUGGCAGUGACCCCCAGUCAUAACACGGGACUUGAUUGGCUGUCAUCAAGCCACUUUGAAGGACAAGGACAUGGCCACCAAUAUCCUCGCAGCUCAGGCAGAAGAGACAAGCCUGUCGACUAAGGUCUGGCCAUUCGCUCCCAAGUUCAUAGAGAAAAUCCAGGCUAGGAACACCUGAUGCAGAAGCUGAAGGCAAAGAAAAAAAUGACUUCUCAAAGCCAAGUUGUAAGAUCCAUGUUUUUCUCCUUUGCUGAAAAUGCCUCCUUAGGACAAUGUAAAAGUAGCUCUCCAAUUUAUUAAAUCUAAUACAUCCAGCCGGCCAA